rnacentral:rRNA from 1 species
UUUCUCAAUGGGCGCAAGCUGAAGGAGCGACGCCGCGUGGAGGAUGAAGGUCUUCGGAUCGUAAACUCCUGUCAUUUGGGAACAAACCUUCCAGUUAACUGCUGGAAGACUGAUAGUACCAGAAGAGGAAGGGACGGCUAACUCUGUGCCAGCAGCCGCGGUAAUACAGCGGUCUCAACCGUUGUUCGGAUUCAUUGGGCGUAAAGGGUGCGUAGGCGGUCGCGCAAGUCGGAUGUGAAAUCUCAGGGCUCAACCCUGAAACUGCAUUCGAUACUGCGUGGCUAGAGUGCUGGAGGGGAGACUGGAAUUUACGGUGUAGCAGUGAAAUGCGUAGAUAUCGUAAGGAAGACCAGCGGCGAAGGCGAGUCUCUGGACAGCAACUGACGCUGAGGCACGAAGGCCAGGGGAGCAAACGGGAUUAGAUACCCCGGUAGUCCUGGCAGUAAACGGUGCACGUUUGGUGUAAGCGGAUUCGACCCCGCUUGUGCCGGGGCUAACGCGUUAAACGUGCCGCCUGGGAAGUACGGUCGCAAGAUUAAAACUCAAAGAAAUUGACGGGGGCCCGCACAAGCGGUGGAGUAUGUGGCUUAAUUCGAUGCAACGCGAAGAACCUUACCAGGGUUUGACAUGCACUGUGUCGCAGGUGAAAGCCUGCUAGCCGGGUUAAACCGGCGCUUUGCACAGGUGCUGCAUGGCUGUCGUCAGCUCGUGUCGUGAGAUGUUGGGUUAAGUCCCGCAACGAGCGCAACCCCUGUGUCCUGUUGCCACUCCUUCAUUGGAAGCACUCUGGACAGACUGCCCUGUGAAACGGGGAGGAAGGUGGGGAUGACGUCAAGUCAGCAUGGCCCUUACACCCUGGGCUGCACACGUACUACAAUGCUCAGUACAAUACGAGCCGAAGCCGCGAGGCGGAGGAAAUCUCGAAAACUGAGCCCAAUUCGGAUCGCAGGCUGCAACUCGCCUGCGUGAAGCUGGAAUCGCU